rnacentral:rRNA from 1 species
GACGAACGCUGGCGGCGUGCUUAACACAUGCAAGUCGAACGAUGAACCCGGAGCUUGCUCUGGGGGAUUAGUGGCGAACGGGUGAGUAACACGUGAGUAACCUGCCCUGGACUCUGGGAUAACCGUUGGAAACUACGGCUAAUACCGGAUAGGACCUUGGAUCGCAUGGUCUGGGGUGGAAAGUUUUUUCGGUCGGGGAUGGACUCGCGGCCUAUCAGCUUGUUGGUGGGGUAAUGGCUGACCAAGGCUUCGACGGGUAGCCGGCCUGAGAGGGUGACCGGCCGGACAGGGAGUGAGAGAGGGACCAGACUCCUACGGGCGGCAGGAAUGGGGAAUAAAGAAUAAAGGGCGGAAGGAUGAUGGAGCAACGACGCGUGCGGGAUGGAGGACUUCGGGUUGUAAACAGCUUUUAGUCGGGAAGAAGGGAUUCGGCUUGACGGUACCUGCAAAAAAAGGACCGGCUAACUACGUG